rnacentral:rRNA from 1 species
CCCGGUGGUUUUUAACCCAGAAAUUUCCCCCCUUCCCAGCCCUUUUGGGGUGUGGGGGAAAAUUCCCGGGGGUGAGGAGGAAGGUCCCGGGGCCUUUAUCACUUUUUUUGGGGGGGUUAUGGCCUUCCCCAAGGGGAAAAAACGGGUUACCCCGCCUUUGAAAGAGUGACCCGGCCCCCACUUGGGACUUGGAACCCGGGCCCCAGAUUCCUUACGAGAGGCAACCAGUGGGGAAUUUUGGGCAAUGGGCGGAAACCCUGAUUCCAGCAACGCCGGCCGGAGAGGAUGACGGCCCUCCGGGGUUGUAAACCUUUUUCAAGCAGGGACGAAGCGCCAAGUGACGGUACCUGCAGAAGAAGCCCCGGCCCAACUACGUGCCAGCAGCCGCGGUAAUACGUAGGGUGCGAGCGUUGUCCGGAAUUAUUGGGCGUAAAGGGCUCGUAGGCGGUUAGUCACGUCGGGAGUGAAACUCGGGGCUUAACCCCGAGCCUGCUUCCGAUACGGGCUGACUAGAGGUAUGCAGGGGAGAACGGAAUUCCUGGUGUAGCGGUGAAAUGCGCAGAUAUCAGGAGGAACACCGGUGGCGGAGGCGGUUCUCUGGGCAUUACCUGACGCUGAGGAGCGAAAGUGUGGGGAGCGAACAGGAUUAGAUACCCUGGUAGUCCACACCGUAAACGUUGGGCGCUAGGUGUGGGACUCAUUCCACGAGUUCCGUGCCGCAGCUAACGCAUUAAGCGCCCCGCCUGGGGAGUACGGCCGCAAGGCUAAAACCCAAAGGAAUUGACGGGGGCCCGCACAAGCGGCGGAGCAUGCGGAUUAAUUCGAUGCAACGCGAAGAACCUUACCUGGGUUUGACAUAUGGAGAAAUCCCCUAGAGAUAGGGGGUCCGCAAGGGCUCCAUACAGGUGGUGCAUGGCUGUCGUCAGCUCGUGUCGUGAGAUGUUGGGUUAAGUCCCGCAACGAGCGCAACCCUCGUCUUAUGUUGCCAGCACGUCAUGGUGGGGACUCAUAAGAGACUGCCGGGGUCAACUCGGAGGAAGGUGGGGAUGACGUCAAGUCAUCAUGCCCCUUAUGUCCAGGGCUUCACGCAUGCUACAAUGGCCGGUACAAAGGGCUGCGAAACCGUAAGGUGGAGCGAAUCCCAAAAAGCCGGUCUCAGUUCGGAUUGGGGUCUGCAACUCGACCCCAUGAAGUCGGAGUCGCUAGUAAUCGCAGAUCAGCAACGCUGCGGUGAAUACGUUCCCGGGCCUUGUACACACCGCCCGUCACGUCACGAAAGUCGGCAACACCCGAAGCCGGUGGCCUAACCCCUUGUGGGAGGGAGCCGUCGAAGGUGGGGCUGGCGAUUGGGACGAAGUCGUAACAAGGUAGCCGUCAGGAAACAGCUAUGACCACGACUAGGCCACGCUGGCCUGCCGACAUGUCGACUCAUAGAGGAUCCCCAGUGAGUCGAGCUACGAUUGCAGCUGACUGUUCC